UACGAACCGUCCAAACGUUAUUCGGAAUUACUGGGCUUAAAGGGUACGUAGGCGGCGCUGUUAGUCGGGUGUGAAAUCCCACGGCUCAACCGUGGAACUGCGCCCGAUACUGCAGUGCUUGAGGGAGACAGAGGUAAGCGGAACUGAUGGUGGAGCGGUGAAAUGCGUUGAUAUCAUCAGGAACACCGGUGGCGAAAGCGGCUUACUGGGUCGCUUCUGACGCUGAGGUACGAAAGCUAGGGGAGCGAAGGGG
rnacentral:rRNA from 1 species